CAUGCUGUGAUUUUUGAAAUUUCAAAAAGCACUAAUAAUGAUGGAGAGUAGUCUUCACGAAGCAGUUCGUUUCGGAAACACUUCUCUGGUUAAUGAAAUUUUGCAAAGAGACUCUUCG